CCCUUCGAGAAGGUCGCCAACCCGAAGAAAGCAGACACAGGGUUCCUGACCCCUGCCGGGCACGCCCAAGCGCCGAGUGAGGAACCCCUGCGCAGCUUGCCUUGCUUGCCACUCGAGGCCCCCGCCCCGACGAGCCGCCAGCGCUGCUGCGUGAACAGGUGACUUUAUUCACUGCUUCCCGAAUCGGCGAGGUCCCGGGACUCGUUUUCCGCCUGGAGAUUAAGAUCAUUGCUCGCGUAAUGAACUUAAUGCUUUAGGGUAGAGCUCCGCCUUGGGAGAGAAUGUUACAGACGCGUUGGCGGGCAGAUUGGGCCAAAAAGUGACACACACACACACACACACACACACACACACACACACACACACACUCACUCACUCUCGCCGCUCCCCGCCAGCAGCCGCCUCCCUUGAAAGGCGAUCUCCCGCUGUUUCUCCCUCGCCGCUCUUUGCUCGGCUCUGGGAUUCCCAACCUCCUGUAAACUGCACCUGGCCACCCUGAACGCAGCGGACCUUCUAACAGUCAAGAAACAGCAAGCCGUCUGAGAAGACGGAAUUUCCAACGUGUAAAAUGUUCUUAACGGAACCAUUGAGCGAGUGCAAUAAGGCGUGAGGGGGAACUAAUCUUCCCAUUUAAAUGUUUGUGGCAAUUUUAUCUAAAUGAAUUUUAAUGCUAAACGAGGGUAAUUCCCCAUUUGUAGCGCGUUUACUUCUCUUUCCUGUGCUUCUAAAGCAGUCGAACAUCAUGCAAUGAACAAUAACAAUAAAAAUACUGUCAAGGCAUAUUAUUCAUUUCGAAUGUGUUAUAAUUACAGCUGAUUAAAUAUGAUAGGGUAAAAUAUUUUUAGUUUUCUUUAAAAAAAUAUUUAAAUCAUACUAAAAAGUCUCAUUCAACCAGCACCCCCCCCCCAAUAAAAAUAAAAAGCAGGUACAAUUGUGUGCCCUUGUUUAGAAGAGGGCGUUUUGUUUUUGCCUUUUAAGAAACAUCAAAAACACCCUCAGCACCUCUAUUCUUUCUUUCUUUCAGAUAAGUGUCCUCCAUAACCUCCGAGCUGGCUCUGAAAUUUACAAGAGGAAAGCUAAAAUCGCAUUAAGGGGGAGUGGGGGUGUCCAGGCAAGGGGAGAAAGGAUCUGCGGAGAGCAAGGCCCUCACAAAACCGCCACACAGAGCAGGGAACACAGGGAAAGAACACAGUUUGUUUUAUUUUUUCUAAUUCACUGGACACUAAUGGUCGUGAUUCUUCAUAGUCUCCAUAUUCCCUGAUUCUUCUUCACUGGUACCCUACUCCUUCUCCUAGUGCCCGCCUCUCUCCACUCCCCCCUUCCCAUCUCUCUCUCUCUCCUUCUCUGCCUCCCUCCCUCCCUCCUCCCCUUUCUUUCCCUCCCCCAACCAGCGAGAGCACCGUCGAGAAGAAAGGCUGAAAAUAACCUACUCACCCAAGCUUGUACUGGGGAGGAGGGGCAAAUGGAUGGGUAGUUUAUAAAGUUUAUUAUUAAUUUUUAAAGUAAAUAAAUGGUU